CCUACGGGAGGCAGCAGUGAGGAAUAUUGGUCAAUGGGCGGGAGCCUGAACCAGCCAAGCCGCGUGAAGGAAGAAGGCGCCAUGCGUCGUAAACUUCUUUUGUCGGGGAACAAAGCGCGCCACACGUGGCGUUGUGCGUGUAUCCGAAGAAAAAGCAUCGGCUAACUCCGUGCCAGCAGCCGCGGUAAUACGGAGGAUGCGAGCGUUAUCCGGAUUUAUUGGGUUUAAAGGGUGCGUAGGCGGUCCGGAAAGUCAGCGGUAAAAUCCCGGGGCUCAACCCCGUCGAGCCGUUGAAACUGUCAGACUAGAGACGGCGAGAAGUACGCGGAAUGCGCGGUGUAGCGGUGAAAUGCAUAGAUAUCGCGCAGAACUCCGAUUGCGAAGGCAGCGUACCGGCGCCGGACUGACGCUGAGGCACGAAAGCGUGGGGAUCGAACAGGAUUAGAUACCCCAGUAGUC
rnacentral:rRNA from 1 species